UGCCAGAGUGCACUUGACUGGACUCUGAAACCGGGGAAGGCUGAGAUCCAGAGUGGGGGGGGGGGUGUGGGCAGAGCUGCGUGUCCCCUUGAAUUCGUAUGUGGAGUCCCCUCCCCAGGACGGCACAACGGGACCUGAUUGGCAACAGGGCCACCGCAGAUAUAAUUUGGGCUGGUCUAUAAUCCAUGAAUAAUGGAGAAGCUUGCCGAGAGGGAAGACUGACAAAUGGAACCACUCUAGAAGUUACUUCAAUUGCUCCCCGUAGGAGCAUAGGAACUUGUUCCCCUGAGCUCUGCUGACUGCCCAGGCUGGAACACGCAAGACGCCUUCCAGGGCACUGUUGAGAAUAGAUGCAUAAGGAAAUAAAACAUCCACAGCAGUGGUGUCUCCGUCGGUGGGAAUUAGGAGGUCAGGCAAAUCUAACUUCACGCACGUGAAAUUAACUAGGACUCCAAUGAACCCACAUACACGGUCAGCAAGUUUUCCUCUCUUUUAUAGAUUAAUUAAGAGGGGGAGGUGGAAAACACCUACACCCUGACCACUGGCCUAAAUUAAGGUUUGGUGUGGCAAAUCCCACGCCCUGCAAUUUAAAAAAGUGAUGUCUCAUCCAUGAGCCCAUGACAACAGUAGUGGCUACAAUUUAGCUAAAAUGAGACACUUAUUGGCAACUUCUAACAAAGAAGCUAGAAAUACUCCCAAGCCUUCUGCAAUGUGGACAUCUAGAGCCAGGCUCUGGGGCACACAGAAUAGACUGGAACUCCUGGGCCGGUGGAUCCUCUAGACUUCGAAGUCUGUCAGUCCAACAAAAUUCCAAGUGUCUACGCAAAACAAUCGUUAAAUACAUCUGGGAUGCGGAACCAUUCUGAUUCAAAUCUAAGAUUUUUAUCGAUUUUAAAAUUGAAAAUUUUAGGUUGCAUUUGAAAAAUGAGGCUGAUUUUUAUGUCAAUGAUCCCUUGUUCCUCAUAACAGUUUCGAUAACACAGGACACUCAGCUUUUUUCUUCCAUGACAACUGACGGCUAGUAAUUAGCUUUUAGUACCGAAGUCUUGUUCAGCUAUGACAAAAACAGGGAAUGUUAGAGUUAUUCAGAAACCCAAAUAAAAACUGGUAGCAAAAGGGAACUGAUUUACCCAUUGAAACAAAAAUUUAUCCAGACCUAUUUAUUUCUCUCUGUCUUACUUGUUUUUAUUUUAGGAAGCAGAGAGGGGCAGAUAGAGAGGGAGAGAGUCCCAAGCAGGCUCCGCACCGUCAGCGCAGAGCCCGACGUGGGGCUCGAACUCAACUCAUGAACUGUGAGAUCCUAACCUGACCCGAAAUCGAGAGCCGGAUGCUCAGCAGACCCAGGUGCCCCUAGACCUACUCAUUUCCUGUAUGGAAUUUUCUCAAAGGCAUACGCCAUCUUCGAAAAUGGUCCAGAUCAAAUCUAGCUGCCGAAGCUUUCUUCAAAGCACAGUCCACGAGUUAGUAUUCAGGGCCUGAGCUGAAGGAAAAAGAGCAUCUCCUCCGCCCAACCCCAGGCCCUGAAGCCCCCAGCCCAAAUUAAAUGGUCAAUACCAACACUUUGGCUGAACACCCGGCCCCUAGCAGCACCUUCCCAUUGUCUCACACUGCUCUCAACACAAGCCUCUGGACUACAUUCAAAAGGAAAACCCAAAAGGCCUCCCACCCUUUACUUUCACAGUCAUGUAAGUAAACAUUAGCUGCCAUCUGAAUACAAGGUGAAGGGUUUGGGUUAAUCUUCUGGCUCCUUUAUUCACCACUGACAUUCAUGAUUCUCAUAGAGCCAGUGCUGUUUUGAAGGCACACAAUGGGUUUACGAGCUGUUAUUCACGGGUUUUAGGCAACUGGGCUCAAUACAUGUGCCACUCAGUUUUUAUGCCUCCUAAGCUGAGCUGUUUUAAAAGCCGAGGAGGAGCUCGGAAGUCAUGCUCUUAGAAUUUUAUCACCACCAAGAAGGCAGAAGCAGGACUGGGCCUCCCAAGCAAGUGCUUUUCCAAGGUCUCGGUGAAACCCGCACGCUAGUCGCUAUAUGUAUGAUGCGGCCUUUUUUCAUGGAAAGAAUGUUAAGCCACAGUAUUUAGUCUUGUCUUUGAAUAUGAUAGAAUAACGAGGUCCUCAAAUAAGUUAAUUUUAAUACGUUAAACAAUCUCAUUUGUUCUCACUGCCGAUGAGCAUUAAUCCUACAUAACAACCGUUCUAUUUUUCUGUUGAAGGUUGAGUCUCUGUAGUAACGUGUCUCUCUCAGGAAGCACAGGCCAUUUCGUUGAACUGACAGAAAUGACCUGCUCUCUGACCCAGGGCUUGGGAGUCAAGGAAUUACAACGAGGGCUUCCCAGAGAAAACACAUUUUCUUUUCUUGCGCUAGGAACACAAACUCCAUUCCUUUCAGCCCUUGAAACUUUUCAUGACAAAUGUUUGGUAAUUGCCAAAGAAAUCGCGAAUGUUCGAAUGGAUGGAAAGGAACAACAGACGACAGGGCGGUCGGCAGCCUUACCUAUCAGGGUGUGGAAGACGGCGGCGAUGGCACCGGCCACGACCAUGCACAGGACAGCCUUGGUCCUGUCUCGCUUGCUGUUCACAAACACCAGGCCCACGUUUUUAAAGUCACUCAUGGGACCCGUGAAGAACUUCAUGAGUGAGUACGCCAGCCCGUAGCUGGCCAGCAUUUCCACCGCAUCUUCCUUAACAGCAGCAAUGCCCCGGUUCAAGGCCUGUGGAGGGGGAAAGACAACCCACGUGAGAGAUGUGGUCCCAUCUCCCAGGAAUCGUACUUCCAAGACGAAACUUGGCAGAUACGUUUCUAUAGAAACGCUAAGCAGCUUACGGGGUAAACCUCACUGUAAUUUGAUCACGGUUAUUAGUUUUCAUUUUCAUCCCUAUUAGCUUUGGUUUGAAAUACCUUCUUGUAGGGGAGAUCCCUGCCCGGUGGGGUUAAAGUCAGAGAGAAAAACCCAAUAAGCUUUUUAUGUUAAUAUCAGAAGAUGAUUCUAAGAAGUUUUGGCUAAAACCUCAACAGGUUACAUUUUACUUAUAGGCUGAAUCUCAAUGACGGCGACAGGCAUUCUGGAAAUGGGUCAGCCUCUUUGUAGGGGGGUGGGUGAUGGUUUCUUUUCUUCUUUAAGGAAGGGGUGUGUGCGCAUGCCCGCGUGUGCGUGACCAUGCAUGCGUGCAUGUGCACCCAUAACCUGAAAAGCCGUCUACGUGUUAUGGAGGUAUCCUUCCUUGAACAGAGCGAAUUCUAUGUUAUGAACAAAAGUAUUGAAGGAACAGAUUAUAUCCUUGAUGGAUGCUAUUUACCCGAUUCUUAUUGUAUUUGAGCUUGGAAUGUGUUCCUGAACUCUGUGCAAACAAAUAUAAGAAAACCUUUAAACCAAA